rnacentral:rRNA from 1 species
UACGGGGGGGGCAAGCGUUGUUCGGAAUUACUGGGCGGAAAGGGCUCGUAGGCGGCCAACUAAGUCAGACGUGAAAUCCCUCGGCUUAACCGGGGAACUGCGUCUGAUACUGGAUGGCUAGAGGUUGGGAGAGGGAUGCGGAAUUCCAGGUGUAGCGGUGAAAUGCGUAGAUAUCUGGAGGAACACCGGUGGCGAAGGCGGCAUCCUGGACCAAUUCUGACGCUGAGGAGCGAAAGCCAGGGGAGCAAACGGG